GGAAGUAAAAGUCGUAACAAGGUUUCCGUAGGUGAACCUGCGGAAGGAUCAUUAACGAACUCUCGAAGGAUGCGGUCGCUGCUGGGCUUCUCAGAAGUCAACGUGCACACGCUCUUUCCUCUCGUUCAACCAAUCUACCCCUAUCUGUGCACCCCUCGUAGGCUGAGAUCUCUUAGCUUAUGUUCUUUCCACAAAGCAUCCUAAUAUAUCAGCGAAUGGCAGCCGUUCGAGCCUCGUCUCGACGUAGCAAUAUACACAACUUUCAACAACGGAUCUCUUGGCUCUCGCAUCGAUGAAGAACGCAGCGAAAUGCGAUAAGUAAUGUGAAUUGCAGAAUUCAGUGAAUCAUCGAAUCUUUGAACGCACCUUGCGCCCCUUGGUACUCCGAGAGGCAUGCCUGUUUGAGUGUCAUUGAACCAUCAACCCGAGUGGCUUUCGAGCUUGUUCGGAGUUUGGAGCUUGCGGCGUGCGGGGAAGGCUCUCCUUGGGCCUCUCCGCUCCUCGCGGAAUACAUCAGCAGAUGUCCACUUGCGGUCCAGCCUUGGCGUGAUAACUGUCUACGUCCUGGCCUGGGUCGCGUUUCCCUGGCUCUGCUUCGAACGGUCGCCGUUCUGGCGACGGAUGGAUUGACAAAUUUGACCUCAAAUCAGGUAGGAUUACCCGCUGAACUUAAGCAUAUCAAUAAGCGGAGGAAAAGAAACUAACAAGGAUUCCCCUAGUAACUGCGAGUGAAGCGGGAAAAGCUCAAAUUUAGAAUCUGCCGGUCCCCCGCGGCCGGCCGAGUUGUAAUCU
rnacentral:rRNA from 1 species